AUUGAACGCUGGCGGCAUGCCUUACACAUGCAAGUCGAACGGCAGCACGGGUGCUUGCACCUGGUGGCGAGUGGCGAACGGGUGAGUAAUAUAUCGGAACGUACCUUAUUGUGGGGGAUAACGCAGCGAAAGCUGUGCUAAUACCGCAUAAUCCCUAAGGGGGAAAGCGGGGGACCGUAAGGCCUCGCGCAAUUAGAGCGGCCGAUACCUGAUUAGCUAGUUGGUGAGGUAAAGGCUCACCAAGGCAACGAUCAGUAGCUGGUCUGAGAGGACGAUCAGCCACACUGGGACUGAGACACGGCCCAGACUCCUACGGGAGGCAGCAGUGGGGAAUUCUGGACAAUGGGGGCAACCCUGAUCCAGCAAUGCCGCGUGAGUGAAGAAGGCCUUCGGGUUGUAAAGCUCUUUUGUCAGGGAAGGAACAGCAGCUCUAACACAGUUUGCGAAUGACGGUACCUGAAGAAUAAGCACCGGCUAACUACGUGCCAGCAGCCGCGGUAA
rnacentral:rRNA from 1 species